UAGAGGAAGACCCGCGCUGCAAUCUGAGGAGCAUCACUUCGAUAAGAGAAAUGUCUUGACAUCAAAAAUUCUGAAUCUAGCUGCUGAUACAAAUUUGCUCCACAUUUGACAAGAAUUUUCUAAGCAUCAACGUGAGAGCCAAGAAAAGAAGCCGGGUAAUGCAGGAGGCGUUUGUGGAGAGGCAGCAUACACAGGGGGUAAAGCUUAGUCUCUGAGUCCAACUGAUUUGGCAUCAAAUUCCAGUUUUGAGAUUUGUGCAACUGUGGAGGACAAGAGCAGGUUUCAGGGUUUUUUCCAAAUGGUAUUCCAGCAUGCUUUCCCGAGUUCCUAGCUGCCUUCCAACGACUGACACCUGGGUAGCAGAUGGUGCAAAUGGCCCGCUAUAUAUUUCCUGGAUUGAUGAAGAAAACUGUCAGGAACCUGACUGGCCUGGUGCCUCAUGGCAGAAAAUGCUGCUCAGGAGUGACAGUGACUGGAAAUAAUUUUGAUUAAAAUCAUCUGGAAUUUACUGAGUUUCAAA